CUCAAGCCCCGCCCCCUCUCUCUUUCUCAGGCCCCGCCCUCUCCGUUGCCAGGACACCCAACUGGGAGGCUAUGGGGUGAUUUUAAUAUUUUGGGGGGAAGAAGAAAGACAGGAUGUUUUUUUGUUUUUUUUUAAAGGUAACGAGACGAAAUGAUUCUGGAAAACCCUUUUGGCAACAGCAUGACGUAUGUUGUAGUUGCAUGCAGUCAUUGCUCUUGCAAAGCUGCUAACUAGAGCAUAUGCAUCAGGACUGCAGUUUGUAUUGUAUGUAUGGUAAUAGCAGAGACAGGUAACAAAUGAAAUAUAUUCUUAUUGGGAUUGUGAUGACGGUGAUGGUGUGUUUUGAGACUAUUGUAUGAUAUGGAUAGCAAGGACAGGUAACAAAAUAUAUUAUUGGGAUUGUGAUGAUGGUGAUGGUGUGUUUUGAGACUAUUGUAUGAUAUGGAUAGCAAGGACAGGUAACAAAUAAAAUAUAUUCUUAUUGGGAUUGUGAUGAUGGUGAUGGUGUGUUUUGAGACUAUUGUAUGAUAUGGAUAGCAAGGACAGGUAACAAAUAAAAUAUAUUCUUAUUAUAUAUAUAUAUUAAUAAUUAUAUAUAUAUAUAUAUAUAUAUAUAUAUAUAUAUAUAUAUUAUUGUGAUGAUGGUGAUGGUUUGUUUUGAUACUAUUGCACUGUAUGCAUUUUAUUAUACAGAUAGCAGGGACAGGUAACAAAUAAGAUAUAUUCUUAUUAUUAAGAUAUAUUAUAAUUAUAUAUAUAUAUAUUAUUGUGAUGAUGGUGAUGGUUUGUUUUGAUACUAUUGCACUGUAUGCAUUUUAUUAUACAGAUAGCAGGGACAGGUAACAAAUAAGAUAUAUUCUUAUUAUUAAGAUAUAUUAAUAAAAUAUAUUAUUAUUAUUGUGAUGAUGGUGAUGGUUUGUUUUGAGACUAUUGUAUUAUAUGGAUAGCAAAGACAGGUAACAAAUAAAAUAUAUUCUUAUUAUUGUGAUGAUGGUGAUGGUGUGUUUUGAUACUAUUGUAUUAUAUGGAUAGCAAAGACAGGUAACAAAUAAAAUAUAUUAUUAUUAUUGUGAUGAUGGUGAUGGUGUGUUUUGAUACGACUGUAUUAUAUGGAUAGCAAGGACAGGUAACAAAUAAAAUAUAUUCUUAUUAUUGUGAUGAUGGUGAUGGUGUGUUUUGAUCCUAUUGUACUGUAUGUAUUUUAUUAUAUGGAUAGCAGGGACAGGUAACAAAUAAAAUAUAUUCUUAUUGUUAUGAUGAUGGUGGUUAUGGUGUGUUUUCAUACUAUUGUAUGAUAUGGAUAGCAAAGACAGGUAACAAAUAAAAUAUAUUCUUCUUAUUAAGAUAUAAUAUAUUAAUAAAAUAUAUUAUUGUCAUUAUUGUGAUUGUGAUGAUGGUGAUGGUUUAUUUUGAUACUAUUGCACUAUGUAUUUAUUAUAUGGAUAGCAGACAUAGGUAAUAAAAUAUAUUAUUAUUAAAAUAUAAUAUAUUAAUGCAAUAUAUUGUAGUAUAUAUUAUAAUAUAUAAUAUAUUAAAAUAUAUUAUUAUUAUUAUUAUUAUUAUUAUUAUUAUUGUGAUGAUGGUGAUGGUUUGUUUUGAUACUAUUGUACUGUAUGUAUUUUAUUAUACAGAUAGCAGGGACAGGUAACAAAUAAGAUCUAUUCUUCUUAUUAAAAUAUAUUAAUAAAAUAUAUUAUUAUUAUUGUGAUUGUUAUGAUGAUGAUGGUGAUGGUUAUGGUAUGUUUUGAUACUAUUGUACUGUAUGUAUUUUCUUAUAUGGGUAGCAGACACAAGUAACAAAUAAAUAUAUAUUAUUAUUGUGAUGUGGUGGUGGUGAGGAUAGGGAUACUAUUGUAUGUAUUUUAGUAUAUAUAUUCUUAUUGUGAUGAUGAUAAUGAUGAUGUUUCACCUACUGUCUAAUGCUGAAAGGAGGGCCAAUCUACCCUGCUAUUAUAAUGCAGGUUGAACUGCAUCAUAUGCUCAGUGUGGACUCAUAUAAUGCAGUGAAACAGCAUUGGAUUAUAUGGCCAUAUAUAUGAAAUGGCAUAUACUCCACAUCUUUAAUAAUAUUGAAUAAUUAAAGUAUAUUUAUUAUUAUUAUAUUUAUUUAUUUGUUGGUUGGUGGCACUGUUGAAAUGGCAUAUAUUCCACAUCUUUAAUAAUAUUUAAUAAUUAAAGUAUAUUUAUUAUUAUUAUGUUUAUUUAUUUGUUGGUUGAUGGCACUGUUGAAAUGGCAUAUAUUCCACAUCUUUAAUAAUAUAUAAUAAUUAAAGUAUAUUUUUAUUAUAUUUAUUUGUUGGUGGCCCUGUUGAAAUGACAUACAUUUCACAUCUUUAAUACUAUUUAAUAAAGUAUAUGUAUUAUAUUUAUUUGUUGGUGGCACUGCUGAAAGGAUGUAUAUUUCACAUCUUUCUUUCUUUGCCAGCAGUUGUGAUUGGCAACACGUAAUGUGUGCUCGAAGACCUAACACACGUCUGUUCUCGUUGCCGUAGGUGCCAACUGUACAGAUCCUGCUGACGUUUUGCCCACCAUCUUUCAGGCAGCUUCCCUUUCUUUUUCCGGCUCUUUCGUGGCUAUAUUUGGUUGUCGAUUCCAUCACCUUUCCUUGUGUCUCUUCUUCCUCUCCCAUGCUUGCCUUGAAUGCUUUUGAUUUCCUUAAUAUUAAAAUUGUUUUCUAUUGCAUUCGUUCUGGAGGAGAUUUCUGUGCUUCACGUAUAUCGGUUGAAACUGCAAGACUUGGAUGCCAGGGGAAGCUUUCCGCCAGUGAUUGAUUUCUGCACAAAUGAUGAUGUGCUAAAGAAAUGGCAAAGCCUUGUGAAACGGACGGAAGAAAUAAAGGCAAAAUUUUUGAAAAUUUCCACAGCUUUUUCUGAAGGGACCAGG